rnacentral:rRNA from 1 species
UACGUAGGGGGCGAGCGUUGUCCGGAAUUAUUGGGCGUAAAGAGCUCGUAGGCGGUUCGGCAAGUCACGUGUGAAAUCUCCACGCUCAACGUGGAGGCGCCACGUGAGACUGCUGUGACUCGAGUCCGGUAGGGGAGCGUGGAAUUCCCGGUGUAGCGGUGAAAUGCGCAGAGAUCGGGAGGAACACCCGUAGCGAAGGCGGCGCUCUGGGCCGGUACUGACGCUGAGGUGCGAAAGCGUGGGGAGCAAACAGG